UAGUUGAUUUACAAUGCUACGUCAGUUUCAGAUGUACAACAAAGUGAAUCAGUUAUACAUUUACAUGUAUCUACUAUUUUUUUAGAUUCUUUUCUCUUAUAGAUCAUUACAAAGUAGUGAGUAGAGGUAAAAUAAGGAACUAAAGGAAGCUAGGAUAAAAAUGAAUGAAAAGCCACCCCUGUCCCUUUCAAAUAGAGCUGGUGUGUUCUGUGGGGAUUCGCCAAUGGUCCAUGAGAGAGCAGUGAGUCUUCUCCCAGAAAGGAGUCCUUGGCCAGGGUUUCUCUUUCCCAGUGACUAAGUCGCUGGGCAAGGGAAGCGAAGCCUGAAAUGCUCGGGAUUGCUGUGAGGGGAAGUCAGCCCGACAGGCUGAGUUGCCUUUCUUGUCCUUGGCAUUGUAACAGUGCACGAUCCUCUGUUGUUCCUGGAACCACUCGAGCAUAUAAUGAAUGGAGUACCAGUGAUUGGAAACGGUCGGCCUGCAAUGAUAUUUCCGCAAGUUGUUUUCUUUCUACAACUUGCUGAUCCACUGAUUGUCAUUUCAUCAGUUGAGUUUCUGUGCUGUAGACACCAUCUCACUGGAAAAGAUGGAGGAUAGGAGAGGAGAAAGGAGCGACAGAAGAUGAAAUGGUCGGAUGACAUCACUGACUCAAUGGAUAUGAGUCUGAGCAAACUCCAAGGGAUUGUGAAAGACAGGGAAGCCUGGCAUGCUGCAGUCCAUGGGACUGCAAAGAGUCAGACACGACUUAGCAACUAAACAGCAACAGAUGCCAUGAAGACAACAUCUUAACUCAAUGGCUACACACUGGAAGGUAGAGUUCCUUCUUCCAUUACUGUUGACACACUGUGCCGUAAUGCUUUAUAGAAAGCCCCAACUCUAGUCCAUCUUUAAUAUAAAACCACAGAAUUGACCACAAGGCCUACUUCAUACCUUCCAGAAGCCCCAUCCAGAUUAUUCUUCAUAACUCCCAGCAUGCAAGAAAAACGAAAACCCAAAAAUCCAAGCUAAACUGUUAAAUUUAUAGAAUUUAAAGUAUUGAAUCAACCAGCUUAAUUUUCAGAUUUCCAUUCAAGUUAAUGUAAUUUUUUUUCUUUUGAGCUCCUUAAAGUGUUUUUGAUUUCCCACAUUAUCUCCUACCAUGAACACUUUUCUCCAGCUCCACUAAGGAGCUCCUUCUUUCUAGUUUUUACCUUAUUUUCCCAGCCACUCAGAUUCUGCUUCCACAGUCACAUGUCUUGUAUGUGUCCUCCCCACUGAUGGUCCUUCAUUAAUCUACCAGCAAAUUUAUG
rnacentral:lncRNA from 1 species